rnacentral:sRNA from 3 species
AUAUCUCUCUGUACGGGAAGGAUGAGAAGCUUCGACUAAGGUUCGAUUCGAGCGCAGCGAG